rnacentral:rRNA from 1 species
GACGAACCGUACGAACGUUAUUCGGAAUCACUGGGCUUAAAGGGUGCGUAGGCGGCGCGGAAAGUAGGGUGUGAAAUCCCUCGGCUCAACCGAGGAACUGCGCCCUAAACUACCGUGCUCGAGGGAGAUAGAGGUGAGCGGAACUUAGGGUGGAGCGGUGAAAUGCGUUGAUAUCCUAAGGAACACCGGUGGCGAAAGCGGCGCGCUGGAUCCCUUCUGACGCUGAGGCGCGAAAGCCAGGGGAGCAAACGGG